rnacentral:lncRNA from 11 species
AUGCCCAGAGGGCGGAGUUCCUGGCGUUUCCUACCGCCUCACCGGAGAACCUGCCCUGGGUUUCGCGGCAUCCAACAGAGAAAGAGAGAGAGAGAGCAAGAAAGAGCCGUCGGAAAAGCCACGCGAGCGACCCAGAUCCCCGGAAUAAAUGGACAGAAGGACGAGGCCCUUUCGAGAUUACCAUUCGAGGAGAAGAAGGAGAGGGCAAACGAGGAAGCAAGGAAAUCUUUGCGUCGCCGAAAAUCUUUUCCUUGUCUUUUGAAAGGGGUGGAGGAGAGAAAGAAGUACCUGCUGCCGACAGAAAGGAGAACCACUGCAAUCCGAUCUGCUUGGCCGACCUUCAAGCCCUUUCCGAGCUGGUAUCUUGGAGGAAAGGGCAAUUGAGGAUAAGCCAAGACUGGUAAUGAAGAGGAGGAAUUAUCCAGGAGAAGGAUCUGGAAAGAAAGAAACAUCCCUGAGGAAAAAGAACAGGAAAAAUGCCCUGCAGAGGAAGAUUACUUCCAGUGCAACAAAUACAAGGGACAUGGCUGGACUUUUUCUUUGAGGCCUAGGAUUGAAGAUGCUGAAAAUAAAAAGAACCAAAUGUAUUAUUCAUUUUUCCUGUGGCUUUGCCCCUCUUUUUUUGUAUUAACUUUGUUAAGCAUUCAAAAUGAAAUCUGUAAUAGGGUCAGUGGACUGAUUCCUAAUUUUGGGAAGCAUCCUUUGUUGGGGUGGCCAAAUAGACAGAAAGAAGCAAGGAAGUGAAUGAAAGACUUUCUGCUAGGUAUUUAUUAUCUUUCUUUCUCACUCCCAGAUUGUCCAAAAUACAUUUUGUUGCUGCUGCUGCAUGUCUCCAGUUUCUGUUUAUGGUGAUCCCAAAUCUUGGCAAGAUUUUCUCAGAAUAUGUUUAUCAUUGCCUUCCUCUCAGUGUGACUUGUCCAAGGUCAGCCAGUAGGUUUCUGUGGCCAAACAGGAUUUGAACCCUGGUUUCCUGGAGUCCAACACUCAAACUACUGCACCACAUUAGGAUGUAUAUUUUGGUAUCUCAACAGUCCAGAGAGUGGCUAUAAUUUCUGUGUUGAAUUUCAGCAUAUUAGCUACAUAUUCUAUAACCAACAAUAUUUAUUAAUACAAUUCAGAUCUGGCAAAUUAUAACCAUGCUAUUUUUCAUAAACAUAUUAACUGUUCCAUUCAGGUCAGUGCUUUUUAUUUAUUUUUAAAUUUUCCCACCCUACUGUAAAUAAAUAUCACUUACAAUCUUUGUAAUAACAAUAAAGUUUGGUUUGCUGGAAAUUUAGGGUGG